GAUUAACGCUGGCGGCGUGCAUAACACAUGCAAGUCGAACGAUGAAGAUUAAAGGAUUUCUUCGGAAUGACAUUAAUUGGAUUAGUGGCGGACGGGUGAGUAACGCGUGAGUAACCUGCCUUACACAAGGGGAUAGCCGUUGGAAACGACGAAUAAUACCCUAUAACAUUAACCUAUCGCAUGAUAGGUUAAUCAAAGAUUUAUCGGUGUAAGAUGGACUCGCGUCUGAUUAGCUAGUUGGUGGGGUAACAGCCUACCAAGGCAACGAUCAGUAGCCGGCUUGAGAGAGUGUACGGCCACAUUGGGACUGAGACACGGCCCAGACUCCUACGGGAGGCAGCAGUGGGGAAUUUUGCACAAUGGGGGAAACCCUGAUGCAGCGACGCCGCGUGAUUUAGAAGGCCUUCGGGUUGUAAAAGUCUUUUGUAUGGGAAGAAAAUGACAGUACCAUACGAAUAAGGACCGGCUAAUUAC
rnacentral:rRNA from 1 species